rnacentral:piRNA from 1 species
UUACUCCUAGUGCAAUUUUUA